UAAACGAAGUAAAAUGAGCUAAUUUUUGUGAAUUUUUAGAUUCUUUUGUACAUGUUGCAUAAUAUACUUUAAAACAAAAAUUAGGGGUGAUAGGCUUUUCAAAUUUUAGGAUAUCUUGUUGUUUGCGAAAAGUAUUUAGUACAGAAACAAACUUAAAGUGAUUAGGCUUUAAGUUAAUCUAAAAUUAUGUAUCAAUUUUUGUGGUUUAAUAAUCAUUAAUUAUUAAGGUUAGUAUUAAUUUAUUCUGUUUAUUUCUUCUAGCGGACUAGAGGUUAAUUUUAAUACCUUUAUAUAAUGUAUCAAUUAGUAAGGAUAUAGAUUUUAUUAAUGAACUCGGCAACUAUCUUCUCAGCUGUUUAUCAAAAACAUAACCAUAAGAUCAUAUUUAUGGCACUUUCUGCUCAAUGAAAUUUAAAUAGCCGCAGUACUUUGACUGUGCAAAGGUAGCAUAAUCGUUUGGCUUUUAAUUGGGGUCUGGUAUGAAUGAAUAAUUGGGGAGGUGCUGUAUCAAUUAAAGGAACAAAAUUUACUUAAGGGGUGAAAAUUCCCUUCGGAAAUAAUAGACGAGAAGACCCUUGAAAUUUUAAUGAUUAAUUUUGUUGGGGCGACAGAGUAGCAUAUAACCUACUUUAUUAAUAGGACAUUUUUAUAAAGAGAGAUUAAAUUACUCAAGGGAUAACAGCAUAAUUAAAAUUUAGUUUGUGACCUCGAUGUUGGAUUAGGGCAAUCUAACCCAGAAGGUAAGGAUUUAUGCUCUGUUCGAGCAAUUAACCCUACAUGAUC
rnacentral:rRNA from 1 species